rnacentral:lncRNA from 1 species
CACUUUUAACCGCUUUUAUUCAAUAUGUUCUUUUAAAGAAAGUUGAAUGCCGUUUAAAGCGUGCCUUCGGGUCGUGUCACAUGAAAUUCACACGCAAUCCUAAGCACACUCUAUUCAAUAUUUUGGGAUUGAAUUUGGGUUGCAUGAAAUGCACACCCGAGUUUGAGAAUGUAAAUCUAUUAAAAUCACGCUUAAAGUGACAAACGCGUUAUUAUCUUUUAGGAAAUCCGUAAUAUUUGCUAAACAGCCCGUCACGGACUUCUAAGUAUUUUUAAACUUGUAUUGAGGGCCCCGCAAUUUUGUAUUUUAUUGGGCGAGGCUCAUCUCAUUUUGUUUUAAAAGGGCAAACCUAAAAGCAACUGUAUUUUUCUAUUUUUGUUUUGUCUCUAAAAGAAAAGAAAAGAUCCUAAUUAAUUAAUAUUAAAGUCCGGGCUUCAAGUUCAAGUCCAAGUCCAAACAAAAAGAAGAACCUUUUAAUUUGUACCCGCUACCUUACUCAAAACCCAAACUUAUGUUAUGCUUAAAGCAUAGAUUUAAUUCUUUGAACCAAGCCCAAAUUGUUGGGUUAUGGAACUGGGCUUGCAUAAAGAGCCCAAUCCCCAUUUCCCUUCGGCUGUGUGCGACUCAUAUAUCGAGUUUGGGUGGAAGCACUCCAAAUUUCCAACUGACUGUCCACACUCACAAAGCUUGCAUUAGGCUGUUAACACUGUGACUGCGCCCAAGUCUCAGUCUAUGCGGCCAGAAUUCUUCACCAAUUAAAUCAACGAACCAUGGUCUAGGCCUUCGACUGGCCAGUAGGGCUCAAAAUCAUAAUCCCGAGGAAUUUGCAACAAAUUACAGCCAGUAUUAGCGAGAAACAAUUUAAGAAAACAUGGAUGAACUAUUUCAAAACAACUACACAAUUAUCGUUACUAAUGGCUUAACUGAAAUGCUCACAAUGUGAAAGUGACAAUUGUUAACCCAUAUUAAUAACUAAUCAUAGUUCAUUCCUGAUUCGAGUUUGCUGACAAAUUGACAUGACUUAAACUAAUUUUAACAAUGACUGGGCAUAUAGAAACUACGGCAGCAAGCUUUUGAUCUAUGAUUUGGAUAACAUAAUGCACCUUCAUUCAUUUGUAUUUACCUAAGCUAACAAACAAUGGAACAAAUAAUUGAGGGAUCAUAUGUAUUGCUACUGAUAAGGUCCACCUGGCUUAUUUAACUAUCUCUUGACCAAAUACAGCCUAUUCAAUAGAUUUUAAUCAACUAAACUUGUUACAAAAUGAUUAUACACUACAUGAACAACCACAGAUUCCACAUUUCCGUAGUUCCACAUGCUCAAGCAGUCCAAAGUUAAUACAAUUAAGUCAUUUCAGUCCAACUUCUAGGCAGUUCAUACCAAUGAAAAAAAAAAUUCCAUUCAAACUCAAACAAAUUAAGCCAAACAACUAGGCACAACAGACUACAACUAUAUUAAGCAACAGAGGAGUCUUGAUCCCAAGCUUCAUUUCAUUUCAACAAACAAAAGUGUAAAAAUAUGUACCUGGAUUUGAGAUAAAUAAGAGAAGGAGGAGUCAGCAAGAGGGUAAUAAUGAGCAGCAAUGAGAUUCCAGCGGCAAACGCAGUCAGUUUCGAAUCAAAAUUGAAUCAGUGACCCAAGAGAUUUAGAAUCAAACAGAGCAGAGAAAUUAAGCCCAGAGCAGCCCCAAAUGAACCAAAUUAGACUUGAGAUUCACCAAAAAUACACAGCCACGACACCGAUCUCGAACAAACCACUUGAAAAUCAACUAGUAAUUUCAGAAACCCGCGGUACUCAAAGCUCAAAAAUCAAUUCAUAUAUCCCUGAACCUAUGAACUUUGAAAUGAAAGCCAAAUGCUCGGAAAAACUUGAAAUUAAACUGGGAUUCUAAUGAAACAGCAACCACUUUUGAUUUUUUGAAUUUUAUUUUGUUUUUGGAUCUUUUCAGAAAUCUGUACUGUUUUUGGGAUUUUCUAUAUAGAA